rnacentral:lncRNA from 1 species
CUGAUCAGUCGGCAAGCGAACUUAAAUGCAGAAUUUGAGUAAAUUCAGGGAACCAUAUCUUGCAUUUACUUAUGGAGUUGGGUCAUGCUGUUCUUUGCUCCAUAAAAGAUAGAGAUGAGUGAGGCCAAAGUGCUGCAAGCUUAUAGAGAAAAUUAAGAGCUACACGGAUCGUGUAGUUUUGCUAUGGUAGGCAUGAGAGGCACCGGGAACUAACAUGUUACAUGCACCAACCUGUGCACCCAAUGAUAGUUUGAUCAGACCGCUGGUGAUAAGAGAAUAAGAGCCAUAGAAAGCAGCGGGCUUCGUCAUGUUCAAGCUGGCAGCGAAGUGGUUUGUGUUAUGUUUUAUAUGUAUAGUAGGAUAUCGUCAAAUCUGAUAUAU